rnacentral:rRNA from 1 species
GAUGAACGCUGGCGGCGUGCCUAAUACAUGCAAGUCGAGCGAACAGACGAGGAGCUUGCUCCUCUGACGUUAGCGGCGGACGGGUGAGUACCCGUUGGAUACCUAACCUUUAGACCUGGGUUACCUUCGGGAACCCGAGCCAAUACCGGAUAAUAUUAUUAACCGCAUGGUUCAAUUGUUGAAAGCGGGUUUUCCGUUAACUUAUGGAUGAUCCGCGCCGCAUUAGGUAGUUGGUUAGGUAACGGCUUAACAAGGCAACGAUGGGUAGCCGACCUGAGAGGGUGAUCGGUCACACUGGAACUGAGACACGGUCCAGACUCCUACGGGAGGCAGCAGUAGGGAAUCUUCCGCAAUGGGCGAAAGCCUGACGGAGCAACGCCGCGUGAGUGAUGAAGGUCUUCGGAUCGUAAAACUCUGUUAUUAGGGAAGAACAAAUGUGUAAGUAACUAUGCACGUCUUGACGGUACCUAAUCAGAAAGCCACGGCUAACUACGUG